CAGUCGCCGCGGGAAUACGAAGGGUGCAAGCGUUACUCGGAACUACUGGGCGUAAAGCGUGCGUAGGUGGUGGUUUAAGUCCGUUGUGAAAGCCCUGGGCUCAACCUGGGAAUUGCAGUGGAUACUGGGUCACUAGAGUGUGGUAGAGGAUAGUGGAAUUUCCGGUGUAGCAGUGAGAUGCGUAGAGAUCGGAAGGAACAUCUGUGGCGAAGGCGACUAUCUGGGCCAACACUGACACUGAGGCACGAAAGCGUGGGGAGCAAACAGGAUUAGAUACCCCCGUAGUCCCUGUCUCUUAUAC
rnacentral:rRNA from 1 species